GGCCACGUGACACAUAGCUUUGAAUUUCAUUUUUUGGAGUAAUACCGUUGCCCGGUUCAAUAACCAAAAAGCACAAAAAAAGUAUUUCUCUAAUCCAUCCAUUUUUUUUUUUUCUAUCUCUCUUUAACUCCACACCCACCCACACACACAUAGAUUAUGUUUUGUUUGGUCUGUGUCUAUUUUUAGUCCCCCAGCCAUAUCAUUCAAUGGGUGCUGCCUAGAAAAGAAUUCGUAUUUCCCUCAAACUAAUACUGCUUAUUGAGCCCCUACCACAUGGUAAGUGUAAUCCUGCGAGGUUGGAAUUACUCACCCCCAGUUGGAGAUGAGGAGUCCCCAGGCUCAGAGAGGUGAAGGGGCGUACCCAUAGCCACACAGCCCCACGGCCGUGGAGAGGGUCCCAACUUCAACUCAUGUCUGGCUGUCUCCAAGGUCUGUGUUCUUUCAGCCACAUCAAGUGCUUGGUUGAGCCUGUGGAUGACAGAGGUUGUAUGACAAGGUAACUUUUGGAGGACCUAGGAGCUAUCAGCCAACCCAGCCAGGCUGAACUUGUCCACUCCAGAGAUGAAUUCGUCCAGGAAAGGGACCACGUGCUCGUCCAAAUGUGGGACAAGCCGGCAGCUGCCUCAGGGGUGUGCUUGGAAGAUGUUGGCAAGGCCCCCAUGGCUCAAAAAUGCCUCCUCUCACCACCUGUCACAUGGCCUCAAAUUCCACCAUCAGAGAGGUAUGCCCCUGGGCUUCAAUUAAAGGCUUUUGCGGGGCAGGGUUUACGUGUAGACACUUUUCCCAGAAAGGAUACACCUACGCCCUUCUCUUAAGGUCCUCUCUCCACAGGACAGUGGGCCCACUGCUUGGCAUUGGAGGUUGGUUUCAUGGUCCAGGUAUCCUGGGAGGCAAGAAGGGGACCAUCAGAGUGGUUGUGGGGAGCUCAGUGAUGGGUUCCAAUGUUUUUAACCAACCAUCAUAGGGAGUAUGGGGCUGUUUAGAGACAAAGCUUUGCAUGUUUGCCAGAGAAAGACAGCCUCUUAUGGCCCCACCUGUCUCAUCCCCAAUCCCGCCUGAUGUGUUUUAGGCUGGAACCCUAAAUAGCCAUGGUAGGAGCAGGGGAAGCCCAGGGCUUGUCACGGGGUCGCAGAGUGUCACAGCUGCCAUUCAGCCAGUCUCAAACUCCAAUUAGUCACGUUCUUUCUUAGCCCUUUUUUCCAUGAUUACACCACCUGUAGGAUUAUUUUCUUAAUAUUUUCCUUUAAACUGACUCACUUGAAAAAGAAUAAACAUCUAUUUUAAGGCUAGCAAGCAUGAAUUUCCUUACUAACAAAAGGAUGCAGACAAAUUCAGGCCCUCUGGCUUUUGUGUGACGAACGCAGCAUUUCUUUUUCUUUCUUUCCUUUUUUUUUUAAAAAAAAGGAAAACAAGCAUUCAUGAAAAGUUGAAAAGAAAACAUUUAUACACACAUCCUUUAGUCUGUAUCACUUACGGUUUGAUUUGCUUAUCGUCUUUUUUUCUAGUAUGUGUUAAAAUAGCAACUGUUGGAAUAAAAAUUACUGCUUAACCCAGAUAUAUCAUAUGAUAAUAGGUAUCAUGUCUUUUCCUAAUAGCCAACUUUAUAUAUGGAGAAACCGAGAUUCAGAGAGAGAAAACACAUGCAGGGAAACACAGCUGUCUGAGAGUCAUGUGAGGCUAAGAAGCCCUGGAAAGAUGUAAAAACAGCACCGGAUGGGGAGUUGGGAGCCCCUGGCUUCAGAUCUGAGAGCAGAAGCAAUUUCUGUUUCCUCUCUGGGCUUUAAAUCUCCAAUUAUGAAAGAAAAAUAAUGACGUUACUUUGGGUUCUUCAUCUAGGGGUCUAGGAUGAUGGGGGUUGGCUUGGGAAUGAACUUGAAGUCCCUGGAAUUUUUUUCCAAUCCAGGUAAGGUUCACAUAACAUAAAAUGAACCAUCUUAAGGCCAACAAUUCAUUGGCAUUUCAUCCAUUCACAAAGUUGUGCGACCACCACCUCUGUCUAGUUCCACUUCUAUCUAGAUCCAAAUAUUUUCAAGCAGCCACACCCCUCCCCCCAACCCCCUGGCAAACACAGGUCUGCUUCCCAUCACUAUGGAUUUACCAAUUCUGGUCAUUUCAUAUACAUAGAAUCAUGCACUAUGUGGCCUUUUGUGGCUGGCUUCUUUUACUUAGCAUCAUGUUGUUGAGCUUCAUCUAUGGUGUAACACCUAACAGUACUUUAUCUCUUUUAACGACUGAGUAAUAUUCCAUGGUCUAGCUGUACUGCAUUAUGUUUGUCCUUUAUCCAUUCAGCAGUUGAUGGACCUCUGGGUUAUUUCCACCUUUAGGCUAUUAUGAAUAAUACAUCAAGGUGCCACGUCCAGUGCUGCAGGGCAACAGGAGAUCCUGGAGGAGGGACGGCACGAUAUAAGAAAACACACAAGACUCCUUUACAUCUAGAAAGUGGAGGACCAGGAGGCACUCUGUUCUGCAGAACAAAGGUGCCUAGGCUUUAGCCCUUGUGACUUUUAUUAGGGAAGGGGAGGUAGGUUAAUGAGCAAAAUCAGGUGCAGGUCAUGAUUAAGCUGUCUCUUAGUGGUUGUGCUUUUGCAGGUGCGCCAAAUUUGUUUACUGCAGAGUUUAGCAGUUUCAGUGCUCUCCAGCAUCUAGGGACAUUCACACGGAGGUUUUUGUGUGGACGCUUGCCUUCAGUUCUUGGGUAUAUAACUCAGAGUGCAAUUGCUGGAUUAUACGUACCUCUGUGUUUAACUUUGUGAGAAUAGUCCCUGGACAUUUGGUGUGUGUGUCGGAGCAUGUGCCUUUCAGGAGAUGGCGUUGGAUCAGAUUCUCAGGAAAAGUCCGUAGCACAACUCUGUGACGUCGUCAGAUCAUGGUAAGCAUCUGGCAAAAGAGGACACCGAGGCUUGGAUCCAGACACUUGUCCCAGAUAUGAGGCCGGUGAGAAGCUAUGCUGAGACUUCUGCCUCCCAGCACGUCCCAGAGGGCUUGGUGUUUCUGUCCUGAGUCCUGACCUGCUGUCCUCAGCUGGCCCCGGACCCUGGAAGCAGACUCGGGAAUAAGGACCUAGUGAGAAGGUGGCCACAGGCAAGCCAGAAAGAAAAGCCUUAUCAGAACCCAGCCAAGCUGCCACCCUGAUCUUGGCCCUCCAGGCUUCAGCAUGGAAUCCCAAGUGUUUGGAAAGCAUGAGCUCUGUCAUAUUGGUCUUUUGUCAUCUGUAGUCCCUGGUCCUGUGCCCCACACUCUAGAGGAGCCUGGAAGAGGAGAGAAGAUUCUAGAAGAAAUGAGCUUGCUGUCAGGGAUGGCAGAGUCCCAAGCCCCAACUUGAUGAGGCUGUGAUCAAAUCAAUGCUUGUCUUUCCAACUCACCUCCAUACCCCCUCAAGCUCCUGGGUCUGCAUCUUCCUAGCUUUUCCUAGAGGGAUAAUAAAUCUUGAGUUUCCCAUUUUCCUCCAGCUCGAAAGGAUAUGAAUUCCGUAAAUCUUGGCCUGAGUGGCCAUCGGGAUGCAUGAAAUAUGACAGGAAAGAGGCCAGGGAGGCAGAGUUUACACAGAGCACAGUAUCCAGUGGCGGGGAUGGGCAGACAGGGGACCCCUGGGAACCCCUUGGGCUGCAGAGAGAAUCUUCGGCAGUCUCAGCCAUAAAAGUAGAUGGUCAUGGUCACUGCCAUGCCAAGAUCCUAGGACCAAUGCCACUGCGUGGGGCAGAAGUGACUGCUGAACAUCGACGUGUUCCCUUUCCUGUUCAUCAUGUUUGGCCCCUGACUCCAAAAAGUUGGGGAGGAAAAGGAGACCCAUCCAUUAGGGCUGACAGGGCAGCAGGAAGAACUUAGCUAUGAUGAGAGGAAGAACUUCCUUCAAGGAAAGGUUAUUAAGUCCUGGAAUGAGUUAUUGAGAGAGGUGGUAGAAGUGACUUCCUGACUUAGAGAACAAGAUGGAUAGUUAUUGGUCUGCCAGAGUUUGGCCCUGCCUGCCUGUCUGCACGGAUCCUUGACCCCUUUGGGGAGAUGGUGCAUCAGCUGUGUCUGCUUCGGCGGCCAUUCCCAGAUGCUCAGCGAUGAUAAACUCCCCUUUGACAGCAGAUUUUGUGUUUUUCUGUAGACAGUAGAAAGGUAUUGUAGAAUGGUAUUGUAGAAGGAUUAUAUGGUCACAGUACUUUUUUUUUUAAGUCUAAAUAAUUGAGAAGAGAAUCAAGUAGGAAAGAAAACUCCCCUCUUCUCUCUGCAAAUCCCUCUCCCCUUUCUGUAGAUAACCACUGUUAUCAUUUGGAGUAAACUUUGAUAGAUGUUUUUGAACAUGCAUCCACAUACAUUCAUACCCACACAGCAGUCCUUGUGUGAUUUUUAUUUUUCGAUAUAGACAGGCACAUACUACAUUCAUUGUUUUGAUAUUUGCAUUUUUUCCUGUUAAUGUCAGGGUAUCUUUCCACGUCAGUACAUGUAUUUCAUUUUUAUUUUUUAGACAGUAACUUUAUAUUCCAUAAUAUGGAUGUGCCAUAAUUUAUUGAAACAAUCCUCAAUUGACUGACUUUCAGGUUAUUUUCCAAAUGUUGUCAAUGCAAAAAAUGCUGCAGGAAAUCCCUAAUACUUAUAUUCCUCUGUAGGUAUAAGGAAAUUUCUAGAAGGAAAAUUGCCAGAGCAAAGAAAACUGUAAAUGUUGCCAGGUAGAAUGUAACUGCUCUCUGAAAAGAUGUAAAAGCACUUAUUCUUAAUUUUGGAGACGCUGUAAAGAAAAAGAUUCAACCUUCACUAGUAGCUAUAAGCACUUUGAAAGGUUUGUAAAUAGACUACCUCAUUUGAAUUAAUGUCUUUUGCUUAUAAGACUGAGCGUCAUCUUUACUGACUGUUCAUAUCUUUUACCCAUUUAUUUCUGUUAGCUUUUUGUCUUUUUAUUUUUUAAUUAAUU